rnacentral:rRNA from 1 species
CCAAUUGGGGAAGGGCAGGAUCCCCUAACCAAAUGUAUUUGACUCUUGAUUGGCCGAAAAGCCCUGGGGGGGCGAACCGGGGAUUAAGAUUACCCCCGGUUUGUCCCCCCCCGUAAACCGAUUGGUCACCUAGCUUGUUCAGGAUUUCGGUUCUGAGUGGGUUAAGCGAAAAGUGAUUAAGUGACCCACCCUGGGGGAGUACGUUUUGCAAGAAUGAAACUCAAAGGGAAUUGACGGGGGGCCCGCACAAGCGGUGGAGCAUGUGGUUUAAUUCCGAUGAUACCGCGAGGGAACCUUACCAGGGGCUUAAAAUGUAGAUUGCAUUAGCUGGAGAUAGCUAUUUCUUCGGACUAUCUACAAGGUGCUGCAUGGUUGUCGUCAGCUCGUGCCGUGAGGUGUCAGGUUAAGUCCUAUAACGAGCGCAACCCCUGUUGUUAGUUGCCAGCGAGUCAAGUCGGGAACUCUAACAAGAUCUGCCAGUGCAAACUGUGAGGAAGGUGGGGAUGACGUCAAAUCAUCACGGCCCUUACGUCCUGGGCUACACACGUGCUACAAUGGUAGGGACAGAGAGCAGGCACUGGGCAACCAGGAGCAAAUCUAUAAAACCUAUCACAGUUCGGAUCGGAGUCUGCAACUCGUCUCCGUGAAGCUGGAAUCGCUAGUAAUCGCAUAUCAGCCAUGAUGCGGUGAAUACGUUCCCGGGCCUUGUACACACCGCCCGUCAAGCCAUGGAAGCUGGGAGUGCCUGAAGUCCGUCACCGUAAGGAGCGGCCUAGGGUAAAAUCGGUAACUAGGGCUAA